rnacentral:rRNA from 1 species
AAAUAUUCCUGCACUUUUCUUAAGUGCGAUGUGGGGACGGAGAAGGUUAGGUCUACCAGGCGUUGGUUGUCCUGGGGAAAGGAGGUAGGCGGUGAUCUUAGGCAAAUCCGGGAUCACUUACGCCGAGCACCGAGACGAGUCCUAUGAGGACGAAGUGACUGACACCACGCUUCCAGGAAAAGCCACUAAGCUUCAGCUUAAGAAAAACCGUACCGCAAACCGACACAGGUAGGCAGGGUGAGAAUCCCAAGGCGCUUGAGAGAACUCGGGUGAAGGAACUAGGCAAAAUGGCACCGUAACUUCGGGAGAAGGUGCGCCCUUUGGUGUGGUCACGUGCGUGACUGAGCAUCGAAGGGUCGCAGUAACCUGGCCGCUGCGACUGUUUAUCAAAAACACAGCACUCUGCAAACACGAAAGUGGACGUAUAGGGUGUGACGCCUGCCCGGUGCUGGAAGGUUAAUUGAUGGGGUCAGCCGCAAGGCGAAGCUCUUGAUCGAAGCCCCAGUAAACGGCGGCCGUAACAAUAACGGUCCUAAGGUAGCGAAAUUCCUUGUCGGGUAAGUUCCGACCUGCACGAAUGGCGUAACGACAGCGGCGCUGUCUCCACCCGAGACUCAGUGAAAUUGAAAUCGCUGUGAAGAUGCAGCGUUCCCGCGGCAAGACGGAAAGACCCCGUGAACCUUUACUAUAGCUUUACACUGAACGUUGAGUUCUUCUGUGUAGGAUAGGUGGGAGGCUAUGAAACCAGGACGCUAGUUCUGGUGGAGCCAUCCUUGAAAUACCACCCUGAAGUGCUUGACGUUCUAACCUAGGCCCGUAAUCCGGGUCAGGGACCGUGUAUGGUGGGUAGUUUGACUGGGGCGGUCUCCUCCCAAAGAGUAACGGAGGAGCACGAAGGUACGCUCAGCGCGGUCGGACAUCGCGCACUGUGUGCAAAGGCAUAAGCGUGCUUGACUGCGAGAUCGACGGAUCAAGCAGGUACGAAAGUAGGUCUUAGUGAUCCGGUGGUUCUGUAUGGAAGGGCCAUCGCUCAACGGAUAAAAGGUACUCCGGGGAUAACAGGCUGAUACCGCCCAAGAGUUCAUAUCGACGGCGGUGUUUGGCACCUCGAUGUCGGCUCAUCACAUCCUGGGGCUGUAGCCGGUCCCAAGGGUAUGGCUGUUCGCCAUUUAAAGUGGUACGCGAGCUGGGUUCAGAACGUCGUGAGACAGUUCGGUCCCUAUCUCGUGGGCGUUGGAGAUUUGAGGGGGGCUGCUCCUAGUACGAGAGGACCGGAGUGGACGUUCCGCUGGUGUUCGGGUUGUCAUGCCCAUGGCAUUGCCCGGUAGCUACGAACGGAAGUGAUAACCGCUGAAAGCAUCUAAGCGGGAAGCACGCCCCAAGAUGAGAUCUCCCGAGAGCUUGACUCUCCUAAAGGCACCAUCAAGACUAGGUGGUUGAUAGGUCAGGUGUGGAAGCGCAGCAAUGCGUUGAGCUAACUGAUACUAAUGAGCCGUGAGGCUUGACCU